UUCACACCACUAACAAUAAACAGAUAACAAUCUGUCAGGCAUUCAGAGCUAAACAGGGUACUGAUUAUCUAGGGGUAGAUAAGGCUACUGAUGGGGUUUGCCUAGAGAUAAGGCUGUGUGGAAUAAGAUAUAAGGCUUUUGAUUGGCUAUUGCACUGAGGAAGUUAUCUUUUUGAAAACAACAACUUUUGAUAAAACAAGCUGGUGUCAGCAACUGAAUAUUGAGCUAAAUUUAAUUCAGCAACAUUAAUAUAAAGAAGUGAAAGACUUAUAAUGGUAGUGUAAAAUGUCUUGAAAUUCUGUCAGCAUGAAGUAUUGUGUGAUGAAAACAAUGUGUUUUUUACUGCAAUGUGGAAAUCAAUAAUAAGUUGGUUGGAAAGGAGGUUGAACUGCCUGAUGUUGUUUUUGGAAUACUGAAGAACAGUUUUAACAGGUUAAACUCUUGCCACAAGGCAAAAUUGACAUCGAUGGGAAGAUCCUUUGGAAAGAAUAUGCAUCAUCGCCUGCCUGAUGUAUGGACUUUUAAACCUGGUUUUUACCCUGCACAAGCUGGCAAACUUGAGGGGAACAAGAGUGGGAAAACCUCACCCUGUCAUUGACCAAGAAAGCUCGAUUUGUUGAGAGAUCAACUGGCAUAAGAGAUGCUCAAGAGGAGAAGGACACAAGCAGCAUCAAUCGUACAACUACAUGUCGCUCCAGCGCCCGCUUUCCAGGUCUCUACCAGCUGCUUUCCAGGUCCCUCCACCCGCCAAGAUCAGGUCUAGGUCCCUGCACUGGCUGCUUUCCAGGUCCCUAGCGGUCAAGGUCUCUCCAGUAGCUGCUGUGCAGGUCCCAACACCGUAUGCCGUCAAGGUCCCUCCAUAAGCUGAAAUCCAGGUUCCUCAUUCCACUGCGGUUCAGGUACCUCCAACAGCUGAGAUCCAGGUCUCUGCAGCAGCUGCGGUCUAAAUACUCCACCCGAAGUGGUCCAUUGCGGUCAAACUUUUGCUUUAAAAUCUUCCAUAAAUGUCUAUUAUUUUAUAAUGUAUUGUAAAAAUAAUCUGUUUGUAUUAAUUUGCGGUGUACUAUUUUUGUCAUAUAAACAUAAUUUUCGUACACAUUGUGUUUCUUUCCCUUUUAACCACAUUGGGCUUAUAAUGAACUGUUGUUAUUGCUUCACAAAAACCAUUUUUUCUAGAACAUAUCAGUCCAAAAUUUUUUUUUUCACACUGCAAAAUCCCACA